AUCACAUUUAAAAACGUGUUCUUAUGUAUUUAGAAUAAAAUUUUCUAUUAUAUUUGUAAUGAAAUAGUGUCAGUUCGUGUUUAUCUCUCGACCGGUAAACGCGUGUGCUAUCUUAAUCCGGUUGUUUUUAUAGCUUGCGAUAGCAUAGUAAAUUACAGUACUGCGUCGUCUUAAACAGAUAAUAUGUCAAUUUCACUUUUUCCAUAAUAGCGCAGCACAAACACAUAUACAUAUAUUAAGCCAGAUCGGCGGCAUAAAGGACGCCAUGACCACAAACUAUGAAAAAACUUUUCACGUCCAUUGAAGAUUAUAGUGACCGAAUUUUGAACCCGAGGUAGUGUGCGUCAAGCACUGACCCGUUACCGACUCGGCCCCACCGUCACUCUAAAACCUUCUUUUGCAUCAAGAACGCAUUAUCGAUUUGGAUUCAUAUGCUGUCCUACUAGUCAAAACAAAUGGUUUGGUAUCCUUUGAAAUAUUUUGUUGCCUGAAGUUGUUUCCAAAUUGGAUUUAUGUGUUGUUGUACUGUGUGAGUUUAAUUUUGAACUUGACCAAUGGUUGACGUUAAAAAAUGUAUAAAAUAAUUGUAUGCUACUAGAAGAUAUCUAAUAAGAGGAAACAAGCUAUUCUGUGCAUUUAUUCUUCUAUCAUGUAAAAAAGUGGUGAAGGUAUUUGUUCAUACAUGUUGAAUUAUUUUAAACUUAAUGAACAUUAUUUGUUACAAAUGUAUAAAAAUAUUGAAAUUUAUACGGAAGAAGAUUUAAAGAAAUAUGGACUAGCUAUUCAAACUCAUGGCGAUGUAGUAUUAUUAAUGAUUCAAGAUCUACAUAAAAUUGAUAAAGAUCAUUUCCCAUAUGACCUAAUGACGAAUCAGAAACAAUUGUAACAGAUCAAAAUCUAAUGCAGAUGUAUGAAAUCAUAUUAGAAAACUAUAAUCAAGUUGAUUUAUAUCUUCAAGAACUCAUAAAAUAUGCAAAUUCAUUUAAUUUGAUUUAUACCAUACAGCAUGUUGGAAGAAUUACUAUUAAAGACUUUAAAUACAUUCUAACACCAAAUUUAAUUGAUCUUUUAUGCACAGAUAAUCCAAUAGAUUAUUGUAUCAGUAAAAAUGAUGAAUGUGAUACUAGCGACAACAGUAAUGAAAUUAAUGUUUACGACCUAGGGAAUAAUGAUGGCUUGGAUGAAUUCAAAAUUGAAAAUAUUGAACAUUUUAAAGAAGUAGCUUUUAAAAGAAAACAAAAUAAAAGUUUAAAUUUAUCAAUUGACAUGAAGGAUUUCCCAAAACAUAUGGUGGAUUAUUUUCUAUGUUCUGAAUAGAAAAUUAUAUGUUCAUACUAAUAUAGAGAUUAGUUAUAAUCCUCCACGUGUUUUACAUGGAGGAUUAUUUCAUUUGUUCCUAAAAGAAAAUUAUAGUUUUGUAUUAAUAAAGAAACUGGUAUAAUACUCUGUUAUUUUAAUACCAAUAAAAAUUAAAAAACUUCAGAGUGAUCGAAAUCUUGCAAGACAUUUACUAUUUCAGAAACUAUUAAACAUUUUAGAUUUUUGUAAAGAGAAAAGUUUAGAAAACAUUAAAAUAAUAAACAAAAAAAAAAAUCCUUCUAUUUAAUUUUC